CAAUGAGGAAUAUUGGUCAAUGGACGCAAGUCUGAACCAGCCAUGCCGCGUGCAGGAUGACGGCUCUAUGAGUUGUAAACUGCUUUUGUACGAGGGUAAACGCAGAUACGUGUAUCUGUCUGAAAGUAUCGUACGAAUAAGGAUCGGCUAACUCCGUG
rnacentral:rRNA from 1 species